UGACCUGUUAGCUCAGCGGGAGAGCACUAUCUUGACAGGGUAGGGGUCAGUGGUUCGAUCCCACUACAGGUCAUC
rnacentral:tRNA from 1 species